rnacentral:rRNA from 1 species
AACGUAGGAGACAAACGUUAUCCGGAGUUACUGGGCGUAAAGGGCGUGUAGGUGGUUUCGUAAGUCUGGCGUGAAAUUUUUCGGCUUAACCGGGAAAGGUCGUCGGAUACUGCGGGACUAGAGGACGGUAGAGGCGUGUGGAAUUCCGGGUGUAGUGGUGAAAUGCGUAGAGAUCCGGAGGAACACCAGUGGCGAAGGCGACACGCUGGGCCGUACCUGACACUGAUGCGCGACAGCAUGGGAGCAAACGAGG